UCCCUGGCCGGGAAAUUUCCAUAUGCUGCAAGCACGCCCCCCGCCAAAAGACCCAAAGUAAACCCACACAUCUUCGCACUAAACCAGCCCAUCUAACUAAACCAGCCCAUCUAACUAAACCAGCCCAUCUAACUAAACCAGCCCAUCUAACUAAACCAGCACACACACCCCCCCACUACCUCCAGCACGCAGAGCCCGUGGCCACCCGCACUUCCAGCCGAUACCGUACAGUCGGCUCGAGGACAUUGCUGCGGAAGUCUGGCCACGGUGCCCCUCCCAACACCCAAGCGAGAACACAGCCGACUGAGGGCACUGCUGGGGCUCCCCCUCCUGACCGUGCGGCGUCACCUACAUGGCAGGCCCUGCCAACAUAGCUGUUUCAGGCUGGCUGCUGGCUGCCUCGGGGCACACAGUCCAGAGGCAGGCAGGGCACAGCUGCAGGACCUCCAGCCUGCAAAGGCCUCUACCUGCGUCCAGGACGCCCGAGUUUGAGACACAACUCUGAAACUGAGUGUCCCUCAACAGGCUCAUUUUACCUUCUUCAGGGUUAAAUCUGAUCCUGAAAAGGAGAAGGUGGGUUUGUUGACGGUGAAGGUCCAUACUCUGGAUAUUCCACAACGGCUGCCAACAGGAGAGGCUAGUAAUUAACUGUAGUGGUUAACGAGAGUGACCCAUAUCCUCACAGCUCAAAACGAAACAAACAGGAGUUCCCGUCGUGGCUCAGGGGCUUGUGAACCCGACUAGCAUCCGUGAGGACCUGGGUUCGACCCCUGGCUUUGCUCAGUGGGUUGAGGAUCCGGCGUUGCCGUGAGCUGUGGUGUAGGUCACAGACAUGGCUUGGAUCCCACAUUGCUGUGCCUGUGGUGUAGGCCAGCAGCUUCAGCUCUGAUUAGAUCCCUAGCCUAGAACCUCCAUAUGCCGCAGGUGCAGCCCUAAAAAAAAAAAAAAAAAAAAAAAAAAAUUUCACUAAUACUUGGUUUGUUAAUAUUAAUAUUAGAUUUGAUCAAAUCAAAGUGCUAAUUUUCACAACAGUUUUCUGCCCAUAGGAAAAAAAGGGCUAUUUCAGGAGUUCCCAUUGUGGCUCAGCAGUAAUGAACCCGACUUGAAGCCAGGAGGAUGCAUGUUUGAUCCCUGGCCUUGCUCAGUGGGUUAAGGAUUGGGUGUUGCCAUGAGUCGUGGUGUAGGUCACAGAGCAUAUGGAGGUUGCCAGACUAGGGGUCGAAUUGGAGCUGUAGCGGCCGGCCUACACCACAUCAACGCGGGUUCUGAGCCUUGUCUGCGACCUACACCACAGUUCACCACCACACAAGAUCCUUAACCCACUAAGCGAAGCCAGGGAUCGAACCCACAACCUUAUGGAUGCUAGUCAGGUUCUCUAACCAUUGAGCCAUGACGGGAACUCCCCAGACACAAUUCCCCUCUCUCUGGAUAGUGUUCUUCUCUCUUUUUUCUUGAAAUGCAUUUGUUACAGAGACGGGGCAGGUUGUCCUGUGGACUACCCCCCUUUCUGGCUCCUACCGGCUGCAUCACAUCUUAAAGGAUGCUUCUCAGCCCCUGUAUUUCCUGUAGACCUGUGGUUGGAUCUCGAGGCUUUGAGGCAAAUGUGAUGUUUUUUACAAGAACGCCUCCACCAGGGCGGUGCUGCGGGGGGAAGCACCUGCCACUGAUGGCUACUGGCCCCUGCCUCUCAUAUUUGGAUAUGAUACUUUUUUUUUUUUUUUUUUUUUUUGGCCACACCUAUAGCAUGUGGAAGUUCCCAGGGCCAGGGAUCAAAUCCAAGCUGCAGCCCCGUGACCUACCAUAGCUGUGGCAACACUAGAUCCUUUAACCCGCUGCCCUGGGGCCAGGGAUCAAACCCAAUCCUCCACAUCAAAUAAACUGCUGCAGAGACAUCAGACCUUAGCCCACUGUGCUACAGCGGGAACUCCUCGGAUACACUAUUCUUCAACAGUCUGAUUCUGCCCUUCCUUCUUCAUAUAUUAAUGGAAACAGUUACAUAAGGCUACAUUCUCCUGCUUGACUACUUGGUCACCCCGAGGUACACACCAUUCAGAAAAGUCUAGCUAAAUGCACCAUCCUUAACCUUCGGUCAUAGCUUUCGAAGUAACACGAGUUCCUCAGAGUGGCCCCAGGUAAACAACCCAUUAGCCACCAUUUCAUGGACGCUCCAAUUGUUCCAACCCUGGCCGAGGGCUCUUCAGACCUAGACGCGGCCACACCCCAAGGGGCACUGCAGCUUCCGGCGGUUCAGGCCCACCACCACUCCCCCAGCAUGCCCACUGCCUCAGCCUUCCUGGGCCUUUGCACCAGAGAGCGAGGAAACCAGCUUUUUGUGUUUGAGAGAAAACCCUCAUGCGUUCCGAGGGAUAUUUCCAAUUUAAAUUUAGGAAUACAAGGUUACCGAUGACUGUCUCUGGUGUCAUCUGCACCCACUCCUCCCAGGGUCAAAGCCGGCGUGUGAUGUUACGGUAACUUCAUUUCCACUGUAUCCUAAAACACACGUAACGGCUGCGAAGUAACAAUGCCAGUACUAUUACUAAUAAAAUGACUAUUGAA
rnacentral:lncRNA from 1 species